AUGCCUGCGGUCAGGCCUCGGUCUUCCAGACAAGCGCUGGGAAAACCAUGGUUGUUGCAAGGACCUGUAAAGAGGAGAACUCUUCCCCCAAUUAACCAGCAGCUUUCUGGGCAAUCCUGCUCCUCCCUGGGAGCCAAGAGGGUGCUUAAAGGGGAGAACCGAGGUGGGCCAGUAUACAAGGAGCGCAGCAAACCCUGGGCAACCUUCCCAACAAUGCCAAGGCUGCCACAGGCCCCAGCUGGGGUUGAUUUGGAUGAGCUUUUUGAGGAAACAUGCAAUGAGCUAAGGAGCAGGUUGCUGCCAGCUUCCAAAGACACCUGUGCCCAGUGGGCCAAGGCACAACCCUUGGAUGCAACAGCACAUGGCAAUGACUCUCUGCUAAGUGACUUCUCAGCAUCCCAAAGAAGAGACCAGCAGCCUCCUGAAUGGCACGUGUCCCCUGCUGAGAAAUUCAUAAGCAGCAUCAUGACGGAGCUGUCUCAAUGGCAAGGUCCAGCUCCCCUCUGUGAGGAGUGCUUGGGUGCAGACAGUGAUGUUCUUCCUCAGAGCAUGGUGCGGUCAGUGUGUGCACAGCUGCUGGCGCAGUUUGGGUCACAGCUGACAGAGUGGCUGUGCUUGCAAAGGGGGUGCAGAGCUCUGUGCGAAGCUGCAGCCAGGCUGGUGUUGAGGGGGAUCUCUGGGGCCCGGCUCCAGGCCUGCACCCCUGCAGAAACAUCGCCCCAGCCACCUGGUGCAGCAGACAGCAUGGUGGAGGAAACACGCUGGGACCCUGCAGAGCCCUGCGGUGAAAUGGGCCAACCUCAGGCAACAACACCUUCUCCCAGGAAGUCUGCAGGCCAUCCUCAGGGCAUCCUCCAUGACCUGAGCACGGCAGGGAGGGCUGAGAACCGGGGGCCUGCCCCGCACGGCCCCACACCACCUGCCACAGACUUGCAGGACACAGUCUGGCAGCUGCUAGUGGCAGUCUUGAGCUGUAUGGCGGGGGUGCGAGCCCAGGACCCAGUGGGCAGCUGUCACAGCCAGACACGGGUGAAGCCACAUCAGAGUUUAGCAUGGCUGUGGUGCAGGAGCCRUCAGCACACACAGUCAGCCCAGAUGCAUUGGCAAGCAGAGCCCAGGACCAGACCACAGAGCCUGACAAAACCACGCACCCUGUGGCUGACACCACGGAUGGGGAUGUCUUGCUGCAGAGCAGAUCCCACCAAGACACUGGCAGGGAUGAAACGUGCUUCGAGAGACGCGUGCCUGAGGCAGCAGCACUCACUGAGGAGCUCUCCAGGUGCCAGCGAGCAGGGCCUGCUAGCGACCACCCCACAGCAGUGCCCACCACCCCCGGGGGCCCCAGCACUGCCGGCGGGGCCAUUGCCACAGCUGCCCCAGGUGUGGGGGCCGGGCUGGGGAUCUGGGCAGGGAAGAGCUCACGACAGCCAGGUUUGA
rnacentral:lncRNA from 1 species